rnacentral:rRNA from 1 species
AUACGGAGGAUCCGAGCGUUAUCCGGAUUUAUUGGGUUUAAAGGGAGCGUAGGCGGAUGUUUAAGGCAGUUGUGAAAGUUUAAGGCUCAACCUUGAAAUUGCAGUUGAUACUGGACGUCUUGAGUGCAUCAAAUGUGGGCGGAAUUCGUGGUGUAGCGGUGAAAUGAGGAGAGAUCACGAAGAACUCAACUUGCGAAGGCAGCUCACAGGACUGUAACUGACGCUGAUGCUCGAAAGUGUGGGUAUCAAACUGGAUUAGAUACCCUGGUAGUCCUCACUCUAAACGAUGAAUUCUCGCUGUUUGCGAUAUCCAGUGCGCGGCCAAGCGAAAGCGUUAAGUAUUCCACCUGGGGAGUACGCCGGCAACGGUGA